UCUUGAGAAACUAAGCAGAGAUUAAUUUAUGUUUUUCACUUGCGCGCCAUAAGAAGUUCUGGUUCUUUUGAAAUUCAUCUAGUGCCUAUAUAUACAUGAAUUUAUGCAAGCAAGACUAGUCAACUUUGUUAGCCAAUUAACUAAAUUAAUCUCUGCUUAGUUUCUCAAGAAUCUGAGCAGUCUUUUUCCAUUGGAAAUAAGGAAGUCCUCAAGCCCCAUGGCAAAGUACUGUUGCUCAGUGAGAGCGAAUUUCUCAUAAUAAACUUUCUUGAUUAGGAAACUCCUGAACAUGUCACAUUGAUCAGUUGUGUGCAAAUCUGUUAAGUGCCAUCUACAGAAGCUCUCCAGUCCAUCUUUGUAUAUAGGAAACUCCAGGACACCAGAGCUGGCCAUGUCG
rnacentral:misc_RNA from 1 species